CAGUAGCCGCGGUAAUACGUAGGUGGCAAGCGUUGUCCGGAAUUAUUGGGCGUAAAGGGCCCGCAGGCGGUUUCUUAAGUCUGAUGUGAAAGCCCCCGGCUCAACCGGGGAGGGUCAUUGGAAACUGGGAAACUUGAGUGCAGAAGAGGAGAGUGGAAUUCCACGUGUAGCGGUGAAAUGCGUAGAGAUGUGGAGGAACACCAGUGGCGAAGGCGACUCUCUGGUCUGUAACUGACGCUGAGGAGCGAAAGCGUGGGGAGCGAACAGGAUUAGAUACCCCAGUAGUCCCUGUCUCUUAUAC
rnacentral:rRNA from 1 species